AGAGUUUGAUCAUGGCUCAGAACGAACGCUGGCGGCGCGCCUAAUACAUGCAAGUCGAACGAGAAUGUGUAGCAAUACACAUGUAAAGUGGCGAACGGGUGAGGAUUACAUGGGUAACCUACCCUCGAGUGGGGAAUAACCAGCCGAAAGGUUGGCUAAUACCGCGUACGCUUCCGGAACUGCGGUUACGGAAGGAAAGCGAUACCGUGGGUAUCGCGCUCUUGGAUGGGCUCAUGCCCUAUCAGCUUGUUGGUGAGGUAACGGCUCACCAAGGCUUCGACGGGUAGCUGAUCUGAGAGGAUGAUCAGCCACACUGGCACUGCGACACGGGCCAGACUCCUACGGGAGGCAGCAGUAAGGAAUAUUGCGCAAUGGGCGAAAGCCUGACGCAGCGACGCCGCGUGGGGGAUGAAGGUCUUCGGAUUGUAAACCCCUUUCGGGAGGGAAGAUGGGAUGGGGUAACCCAUUCGGACGGUACCUCCAGAAGCAGCCACGGCUAACUUCGUGCUAGCCGCCGCGGUAAUC
rnacentral:rRNA from 1 species